GUAUUGUGAAUGAAAGGUGAAAAGAAUUCCGAAAGGUAGGUGAAAAAGAACUGCAUAAACCCAAGCCCUGUGAAUUUAGUGCUCUUAUUAUAACUGCUUGUGGAAGAAAGAAUUGUCGAAUUUC
rnacentral:rRNA from 1 species